UAGGGAAUCUUCCACAAUGGGCGCAAGCCUGAUGGAGCGACACCGCGUGAGUGAAGAAGGGUUUCGGCUCGUAAAGCUCUGUUGUUGAAGAAGAACGUGCGUGAGAGUAACUGUUCACGCAGUGACGGUAUUCAACCAGAAAGUCACGGCUAACUACGUGCCAGCAGCCGCGGUAAUACGUAGGUGGCAAGCGUUAUCCGGAUUUAUUGGGCGUAAAGCGAGCGCAGGCGGUUUUCUAAGUCUGAUGUGAAAGCCUUCGGCUUAACCGAAGAAGGGCAUCGGAAACUGGAUGACUUGAGUGCAGAAGAGGGCAGUGGAACUCCAUGUGUAGCGGUGGAAUGCGUAGAUAUAUGGAAGAACACCAGUGGCGAAGGCGGCUGCCUAGUCUGCAACUGACGCUGAGGCUCGAAAGCAUGGGUAGCGAACAGG
rnacentral:rRNA from 1 species